GUGUGGUGCGGUAGCAGCCGGUGAUAAAUGAGGACAUGCGGAAGGACAAGGCAGAAUAAGGCCAGAUAAAUGCCUUCACGGUCAGUCUGGGCUCUCAGUUAUUUAUCAGCCCUGGAGAGCAAGCGAGGUUUCUGCACCCCGACUGCUUCCGUCCACUGCUGCUGCUGGGGCUCUCCCUGGAGGCCCGCUCAUUGACAAUGUUGCCAGAGGUCAACGGUGAGGCCACCAAUGGAAAGUUAUACCUCUUUUCUACGAAACAGAAACUCUGCGAGUGGGACCCAGAAGUCUGUGUUUUAACAUCAUGCCCUGCGGUGGAUGCUGCUGCAUGCACAUUACAA